UAGGAAAGGCAAAGGAUCUCUGCUGAUCUACCUCCUCAUCAGAUGUUGCCCUGCCUUCAGCUGCUGAGAUGCUAGCACACCUACACACCACACUGUGCUUAGCUACCGUAAAAGCAAAUGCUGUUUUGACUACAUCACAGAAUUUCCAAAUCAAGAAAACUCAUGGCAAGUGCAUCCUCAGGGUACCUUGCAGAACUCCGGAAAAGUGUGUUUUGACUGAUGGAGGGGUUAAAAAUUACAUUUUCUUCUGCACUUGCUUACUCAUGCCUCAUCACAAAGUUACCUCCGCUCAGCUUCGCGGUGUGCCCGAGCCCG
rnacentral:lncRNA from 1 species